rnacentral:lncRNA from 1 species
GUGUAUCUCUAAGCAAGACAUCAUACAAUUAAGAUGAAUGUAUUUUGAAAUAUUCAGCGAAUCAGCGUUAUCUUUUUUUUUUUUUUGACGUCGAAAGGCUAUUCUAUUACUCAAACUUGAGGUGGCCUGGGUAACCAAACCGGAAUAGAACAACCAAUAAAACAUAACUCCCUAUGGAAGUAUCUAGCAGUCUUAGCCAAAAAAUCAGCUGUCUGAUUGUGUGCCUGUGGGACGUGAGUGAUUUUAAAAUCCGGAAAGCAUAUCUGUAGCGUUUCUAUCCUCUCCAAUUCCGUCGCAAAGCUUGGCCACGCCUGAGGGUCCUUCACCAUUGCUAUCAGUUCCUUACAAUCUGUCCCGAAGCUCUGUCAGUUCGAAUGUUGC